rnacentral:rRNA from 1 species
AUUGAACGCUGGCGGCAGGCCUAACACAUGCAAGUCGAGCGGCAGCACAAGUAAGUUUACUUAUGAGGUGGCGAGCGGCGGACGGGUGAGUAAUGCCUAGGGAUCUGCCCAGUCGUGGGGGAUAACAGUUGGAAACGACUGCUAAUACCGCAUACGCCCUACGGGGAAAGGAGGGGACCGUUCGGGCCGUUCCGCGAUUGGAUGAACCUAGGUGGGAGUUAGCUAGUUGGUGAGGUAAUGGCUCACCAAGGCGACGAUCCCUAGCUGUUCUGAGAGGAUGAUCAGCCACACUGGGACUGAGACACGGCCCAG